rfam:Erinaceus europaeus unplaced genomic scaffold scaffold00630, whole genome shotgun sequence
AGAUGUGAGGGCGAUCUGGCUGCAACAUCUGUUACCCCAUUGAUCACCAGGGUUGAUUUGGCUGAUCUGGCUGGCUAGGCGGGUGUCCCCUUCCUCCCUCACCUCUCUAUGUGCAUCCCUCCCAAAGCUGCUUGGUUGAAGAGGACUACCUUCCCCAAAUAGAGACAGACCGGUCUUUAGUCGAGGGUAUAUGAGUAGCUGCGUUCCUCUGCUAGAACCUCCAAAAACAAGCUCUCAAAAGUAAGAAAAACAGGGAGUCGGGCGGUAGCGCAGUGGGUUAAGCGCAUGUGGUGCAAAGCGCAGUGGGUUAAGCUCAUGUGGUGCAAAGCC